UUGGAGGGCAAGUCUGGUGCCAGCAGCCGCGGUAAUUCCAGCUCCAAUAGCGUAUAUUAAAGUUGUUGCAGUUAAAAAGCUCGUAGUUGAAUUUCGGGGUUAGUAGGUUGGUCAUGCCUCUGGUAUGUACUGGUCUCACUGAUUCCUCCUUCCUGAUGAGCCGUAAUGCCAUUAAUUUGGUGUUGCGGGGAAUUUGGACUGUUACUUUGAAAAAAUUAGAGUGUUUAAAGCAAGCUAACGCUUGAAUACAUUAGCAUGGAAUAAUGAAAUAGGACGUUCGAUCCUAUUUUGUUGGUUUCUAGGAUUGACGUAAUGAUUAAUAGGGAUAGUUGGGGGCAUUAGUAUUCAAUUGUCAGAGGUGAAAUUCUUGGAUUUAUUGAAGACUAACUACUGCGAAAGCAUUUGCCAAGGAUGUUUUCAUUAAUCAAGAACGAAAGUUAGGGGAUCGAAGACGAUCAGAUACCGUCGUAGUCUUAACCAUAGACUAUGCCGACUAGGGAUCGGAUGAUGUUAAUUUUUUAAUGACUCAUUCGGCGCCUUACGGGAAAC
rnacentral:rRNA from 1 species